UACGUAGGGUGCGAGCGUUAAUCGGAAUUACUGGGCGUAAAGCGUGCGCAGGCGGUUCGUUGUGUCGGCGGUGAAAGCCCCGGGCUUAACCUGGGAAUGGCCGUUGAAACUGGCGAACUGGAGUGUGGCAGAGGGGGGUGGAAUUCCGCGUGUAGCAGUGAAAUGCGUAGAGAUCGGGAGGAACACCAGUGGCGAAGGCAAUCCCCUGGGCCUGCACUGACGCUCAUGCACGAAAGCGUGGGGAGCAAACAGG
rnacentral:rRNA from 1 species